CUCCUCCAGCAAUGACUCAAGAGGCUGAAUGGGACUUAAACCUACAAUCUCACUUUGACACCAAGUGUUGGGACCGUAGCCCCUAACUAAUCUUCUAAAAAAAAAUUCUUCAUAGAAGGUGGGGUUUAUUAGCCUUUAUCUACUAGGCUUAGAACCUCACAUCUAUACGUGUUGCAAGCGGACCUAAGGGGCUUUGCACUAGAGUCCAUUCACUUCAAGCUAGAUUGACCCCAGC
rnacentral:lncRNA from 1 species